GACGAACGCUGGCGGCGUGCCUAAUACAUGCAAGUAGAACGCUGAAGGAGGAGCUUGCUUCUCUGGAUGAGUUGCGAACGGGUGAGUAACGCGUAGGUAACCUGCCUUGUAGCGGGGGAUAACUAUUGGAAACGAUAGCUAAUACCGCAUAAGAGUAGAUGUUGCAUGACAUUUUCUUAAAAGGUGCAAUUGCAUCACUACCAGAUGGACCUGCGUUGUAUUAGCUAGUUGGUGGGGUAACGGCUUACCAAGGCGACGAUACAUAGCCGACCUGAGAGGGUGAUCGGCCAAACUGGGACUGAGACACGGCCCAGACUCAUACGGGAGGCAGCAGUAGGGAAUCUUCGGAAAUGGACGGAAGUCUGACCGAGCAACGCCGCGUGAGUGAAGAAGGUUUUCGGAUCGUAAAGCUCUGUUGUAAGAGAAGAACGAGUGUGAGAGUGGAAAGUUCACACUGUGACGGUAGCUUACCAGAAAGGGACGGCUAACUACGUG
rnacentral:rRNA from 1 species